GGAAGCGUGCCAGAGCGGUCUAAUGGACUGGUCUUGAAAACCAGCGGCGUCGCAAGGCGCCCGUGAGUUCGAAUCUCACCGCUUCCG
rnacentral:tRNA from 1 species